GUAAGGUGGGGAAUCAAAACAAAAAGGGGAAAUACUAGGGGUUCAGGCUCAGAGUAUGUGUUGUUACCCUCGUAACUGUGUUCAAUCUUUUAAUUAGGGGGUAUUCCUAUUAGGCACCGUUCAUGUAGGAAUUCAUUAGCUCUUUUAUUCUUUUUAUUGCUCUUUUGAGCAUUAUUUUUGCCAACCUUAAUUCUUCUAGAUAAGUGCUUCAUCAUACUUCUCAUAAUUUUUU
rnacentral:lncRNA from 1 species